UACGGAGGAUCCGAGCGUUAUCCGGAUUUCCUGGCCUUCAACGGAGCGUAGGCGGAUGCUUAAGUCAGUUGUGAACGUUUAAGGCUCAACCUUGAGAUUGCAGUUGAUACUCGACGUCUUGAGCGCAUUACAUCCGGCAGGCAUUCGUGGUGUAGCGGUGAAAUGCUUAGAUAUCACGAAGAACUCCAAUUGCGAAGGCAACUCACAGGACUGUAACUGACGCUGAUGCUCGAAAGUGUGGGUAUCAAACAUGAUUAGAUACCCUGGUAGUCCACACAGUAAACGAUGAAUACUCGCUGUUUGCGAUAUACAGUAAGCGGCCAAGCGAAAGCGUUAAGUAUUCCACCUGGGGAGUACGCCGGCAACGGUGA
rnacentral:rRNA from 1 species